UACGGAGGGUGCAAGCGUUAUCCGGAUUCACUGGGUUUAAAGGGUGCGUAGGUGGAUCUGUAAGUCAGUGGUGAAAUCUCCAAGCUUAACUUGGAAACUGCCGUUGAUACUAUAGAUCUUGAAUGCUGUGGAGGUGAGCGGAAUAUGUCAUGUAGCGGUGAAAUGACUUAGAUAUGACAUAGAACACCAAUUGCGAAAGGCAGCUCACUACCCAGAUAUUGACACUGAGGCACGAAAAGCGUGGGGGAUCAAAACAGG
rnacentral:rRNA from 1 species